GUUAGAAGGAAAAAGAUAAGGAAGAAAAAAAGGAGCGAGGACAGAACACGGGAGUCGCGGAGGGCAAAAUGUAACACGCCUUCGGUCGGCCUAUUGAUCCGCCAAAUGACCUCUAUUUUGCUUAAAAUUUUAGUAGAAUAUUCUAUUCAACGCGGAUAACACUUUUACGGAGCUCGAUUUUAGUUUCAACGGUUAGAUUUUUGAAUAUGAGGUGAACUUAACCCAUCAAAUGGCACGUGUGAUGGGCAAAGAAGAGCUAAGAAUAGAUAUCAGCUCGCUAGCACAAGAUGGACAUGAAAUUGAGACUGGGACUUCACCUGAACAGAUGUCACCUGUAGAUCUAAUUUCUGGAGAUAGAGACCUCUACCUCGCUGUAUGCAUACCUCUUUAUCGUGCCGCCAUGAAAGGUGACUGGAAAACUGCUAAAGGUAUUUUUGAAAUGUUUCCAGCAGCAGUGCGCUUCACCAUCACACCAGGAGGGGACACAACCCUUCAUAUUGCUGCUGCAGCAAAGCAUGUCUACUUUGUUGAGGAGAUGGUGAAAAUUAUGGAACCAGAAGACUUAGAACUUAAGAACCAAUAUUCGAAUACUGCUUUUUGGUUUGCUGCUGCAGCAGGAAUAGUGGGAAUUGCAAAGGCUAUGGUGAAAAAGAAUGAAAUCCUUCCAAUGAUCCGAGCUUAUGAUGAAAUGACACCACUCCAUGUGGCUGCUCUAUUAGGACAUAGUGAGAUGGUGUGGUAUCUCUACAACAAGACUGAUCAUGAACAAUUAACUGUUAGCGAUUGGGUUAAGCUGCUUAAUGCAUGCAUCAGUACUGAUCUGUAUGAUGUAGCCUUGGACGUAUCGAGCCAUCACCCAACAUUGGCUGUAGAAAGAGAUGGGAAUGGUGAAACUGCAUUGCAUCUCCUGGCUCGGAAGCCUUCUGCAUUCUCGGGGGGAGAUCAGCUUCAUAUAUGGAACACUGUCAUUAAUUCAAUAUCAUGUAAAAGAGUGGAAGACAAGAAAAUUUUGAGGCAAAACAAAUCUCUUAAACUAGUCAAACACCUUUGGCAGCAGGUUAUAGUACAACCGCACUCCGAGAUUUUAGAUCUGAUCAGAUCUCCUUCUCCACUGCUCCUUGUUGCAGCAGAAUUAGGAAACACUGUGUUCUUAACAGAGCUUAUUGCCAUAUAUCCUGAUCUCAUAUGGGAAGUAGACGAUCACAAUAGGUCUAUAUUUCAUAUUGCAGUUUUACAUCGCCAGGAGAAUAUCUUCAAUCUUAUAUAUGAGAUAGGUUCAAUGAAGGAUUUGAUUGUGCCAAAUAAAGAUGAGAAUGAUAACAACAUCUUGCAUUUGGCUGGAAGAUUGGCACCCCCACGUCAACGCAAUAUUGUCGUAGGUGCAGCUCUUCAAAUGCAACGAGAGCUAUUAUGGUUUAGGGAGGUGGAAAAGAUGGUGCUACCUUCAUUCAGAGAAAGGAAAAACAGAGAUGGUGAAACACCCUGGGAUUUGUUCACUAAGGAGCACAAAGAUUUAAUGAAGGAGGGGGAGAAGUGGAUGAGAGGAACUGCUGCUCAAUCUAUGCUUGUUGCAACCCUCAUAGCCACUGUUGUGUUUGCUGCAGCCCUCACUGUACCAGGCGGUAGCAAUCAAGAUACUGGCAUUCCUGUUUUGUUGAGAAAGAAAUCCUUCAUAUUUUUGCAGUAUCGGAUGCAAUAGCGUUAUUCACCUCUUUGACUUCAAUACUAGUGUUCUUAUCUAUUGUCCUAACUUCACGCUAUGCAGACGACGAUUUUCUCGAGUUAUUACCUUCCAGGUAGGAUACAAACAACAGAUGAAAUGUGAGUAGCAACAAUCAGGUAAUGAAAAUCUCAUUUUGAACAAUAUAGGAACCCAACAUCCAACAAAAUAGCAUGAACAAGAGACUGCUAUGCCUUUCAUGAUACAAGGAACUUUUGCCUCCAUAAAUUAGUAAUUACUUGAUACGGAGUAAAAUUUAAGGGUACAACAAACACCACCGCCUCAUAAUUCAAGAACUAAACCAUCAAGAAGGCUAUGUUGAAAUCUAAUCACCACAUCGAAAUAGGUAUUUCUCUGGUCUCAACAAGUGGCACAAGGAAAUUUUUGUAUCUAGUGAAUACCUUUGCCUACAUCUAGUACAAGGUUUUGUUUUUUUCUUGUAAACAUAUAUAUACAUCCAAACAUGUACACACACGUGUAUGCACUUUGAAGUUCCCAAGAAAUUAUAAGUAGAUUUUGUAGGUACAUGGUUGUGACCAAUUCUUGUCCUACCUUGUAGUUCUAGGUUAGCCCAAGGGUGCACCUUUUCCAAAUUUUCUCUUUAUGAUAUUGCUUUAUCCCUCUAGGGAUAUAUUGUUAAUGGCCACAACCUCAACAAUCUUUUUCAUGUUUUCAUGCAUGGAUCAGUUUAAAAAGGAAAAACAUCAGAGUUUGAACUUCCAUUAUUUUACUAUAGGUACAAGGUUUACAUUUUUUGGUAUUCAUGCCCCAGUUUAGUGAUUUUCAUACAGACAUGUGCAUAUGGUGUUUUCUUACAUGCUUAUUGAUGAAAUCCUCCCUUCCCAAGUCCACAAUUCAUCCUAAGUUUAUCAAAAAGACAUCAAGGCAUCAUAGAAAAUCAACAGUUCUAAUAUUGUAACAUCUCCAACAUUUGUAGAAAAAAACAAGAUUCCAUAUUUGAUCUUUAGAUUAUAAAUUAAGGUUCAAAACUCAAAAGCACAUUCAUAUAGACACAAACCUCACUAGCUAUCAGCUUUCGGACAUUAUUAACAUAUAAUUUUCCCAUACAUUACAAAUGAGCUUAAUUUGAGAGUUAUACCUUGGCAAUGAGAGAACCUACUUUGGGCAAUAAUUCAAAUUGUGACAGAAUUUUUUUGGUCUCCAUCUCAUCCUUGUAGCAACAUGCAGCUUACUUAUGUCAUUCCACUUGUGUGGAGCUACCAUUAUCUUACCAAUAACAUGCAAAGUAGACAGUAAGACUGAUCAAGAAAUCAAAAUUCCUUAUGUUUUGAAUCUUACACUGCAAGGAGAGUGGAACUAUGACUGUCCAAGUGUGGUUGCUUGUCGAGAGUUGAAAAUUUGGAUGAUUAUUUGGAGGUUCUAUUCAAAUUCUUGGGCAGAAUCAUUAGAGAAUGAAAAAUGAUCAAGAAAUUUGGGCAACAAUAGAGCAAGUAAGAAAAA